GACGAACGCUGGCGGCGUGCCUAACACAUGCAAGUCGAACGGGGUAGAGAGCUUCGGUUUUCUACUUAGUGGCGAACGGGUGAGUAACGCGUGAGAAACCUGCCUUUCAGUGGGGGACAACAGUUGGAAACGACUGCUAAUACCGCAUAAUGUUAUCGAGCGGCAUCGCUUGAUAACCAAAGCUUUGUGUGCUGAAAGAUGGUCUCGCGUCUGAUUAUCUAGAUGGCGGGGUAACGGCCCACCAUGGCGACGAUCAGUAGCCGGGCUGGGAGGAUGAACGGCCACCUUGGGACUGGGAUACGGCCCGGACUCCUACGGGAGGCAGCAGUGGGGAAUAUUGGGAAAUGGGAGAAACCCUGACCCAGCAACGCCGCGUGUAGGAAGAAGGCCUUCGGGUUGUAAACUUCUUUUAGCAGGGACGAAGAACGUGACGGUACCUGCAGAAAAAGCAACGGCUAACUACGUGCCAGCAGCCGCGGUAACAC
rnacentral:rRNA from 1 species